rnacentral:rRNA from 1 species
UACGUAGGGGGCAAGCGUUAUCCGGAUUUACUGGGUGUAAAGGGAGCGCAGGCGGUAUGGCAAGUCAGAUGUGAAAACCCAGGGCUCAACCCUGGGACUGCAUUUGAAACUGGCAGUCUCGAGUUGGAGAGAAGUAUGCGGAAUGCGCGGUGUAGCGGUGAAAUGCAUAGAUAUCGCGCAGAACUCCGAUUGCGAAGGCAGCAUGCCGGCUCCACACUGACGCUGAGGCACGAAAGCGUGGGUAUCGAACAGG